UCUCUGGUGGUCCAGCGGUUAAGGAUCCCACGCUCUCACCGUGGCAGCCUGGGUUGGAUUCCCAGGCCGGGGCG